UGGGGAAGUAUUGCAUCAAUGGGCAGGCAAGCCAUGACUGCAGCCAUGCCGCGCUGUAUGAAGAAGGCCAAUUCGGGGCUUUGGUUAAAGAUACUUUUCAGCGGAGGAGGAGGCGUUGUGGUUAAUAACCGCAGCGAUUGACGUUACUCGCAGAAGAAGCACCGGCUAACUCCGUGCCAGCAGCCGCGGUAAUACGGAGGGUGCAAGCGUUAAUCGGAAUUACUGGGCGUAAAGCGCACGCAGGCGGUCUGUCAAGUCGGAUGUGAAAUCCCCGGGCUCAACCUGGGAACUGCAUCCGAAACUGGCAGGCUAGAGUCUUGUAGA
rnacentral:rRNA from 1 species